ACAACAUUGCUGGUGCUGAGUUCAAGUCAAAAGGAUGAGAGAAAUGUCAUGCAUGCAGAACGUGGAACUAGUAAUACCAGGCCGAUGAGGAUGCACAAGAUGCCGAUUCGCUUUGCGGAUUAUGAGUUAUAUAAGCGUAAACAUUAGUUAGUUAUGAUCCAUGAAUUUAGCUUAUAUUGUUAUUUCUCUAUUCUAUUUAAAGCUUUAUAAUAAACAGGACUACAGACAU